rnacentral:lncRNA from 1 species
CUCUUCUCCUACCAAAAACUCAGGAUGAUUAGAUGUGUUUGUCCACUUGGCCCCAGAGCUGUGAUCUAAAAUAGCUGGCCGCAUCUGUCUGUUGUAUGACCUGGCCUGAUCAGGUGACACCGGGAUACGUCUGGCACCAUUUGACAUCUUUUUGGACCAUAUUGCUUGGUCCACCAUUUUGAGGCCAUUUUGUCUCUGCUCUGUACUUUCAGGUUUAUUGAGGCCGUCCCGCAGCAGCCAGCUGUCCCGGUAGGCCGCCUGGCCCUGCUGCUUGUGCCGCCUCGCGAUGACGUGGGGGAUGCCUACGGGCAGCGUGUCCGUUGCCCUCCCGAUGCGCAGGGUCGUGGAGCCGGGGUGGAUCACCACGAUGAAGUUGCUCUGGAUUUGCUCCUGCAGGGACUCGGGCACGGCGGCGGGGACGAUGGGCCGCUUGCCGCCGCGCUGCUCUCGCUCGCGCUCCUUGUCCUUGCCGUUCUCCGUCUCGCCUUUCUCCGCCUGGGUCAUGUUUCCGGCCCGCCAGGCGGCUCCGAGCCGGGCCCGACAGCAGCGCGGGGCGGAACGGGCGGGACCACGGCCGGCACCGCCCCACGGGCAGCUCAGGCGAAUACCGCGGACGGGGGUGGGUGUACGAGCUUCUCUACCAGCAGCAGGCGGAAGCCAACAGGUUCAUAGAUCCGCUGGUAACAAAGGGGCGUUGCUGGGUGCGAGUUACCUGCUGGAGGCUGUUUCAAAAGCUACGUGAAAAACUGAAAGUGGCGCCUCAUGGAAGCUAGUUCCGUCUGGGUUCUGCAUGGCGGAACCGGCCUGCUCCUAUCGACCCAACAAUCCCUGGAACAACGAUUAAAAAUCCCAGCCCAUGCAGAAAAGAAGUGACUGGAAGAAAAUAACUCGUGUGUUAGUCCUCAGUGUUACCGAGCAGCUUUUCUUCCUGUAAUGAAAAUGAAACCUCCUUUUAUUUAAAGUAUCCUAUUAGUGUUUGCACAGAAUAUGCAUAUAUGUUGAUGAUAGAAGGAAGUUGUUUCAUGAGUGCCUAUAAAAUGGGUAUGUUAUAAAACCCACGAUAGGGCUUUAAGGAAGUGAGUUUUUUAAAAUGGAAGGACUGGAAAGAAACUACCUUAAAUUGUGUUUUAGAAGUGUUUUUAGCACAUCAUUAACAUUAUAAAAAUGCAACAAGGACCAGUAGAGACAAAACCUUUAAGGAAGCACUCCUUUAAGUGAUCUUCUGCAUGGUGUGUAAGUAUUACAUAUUUUUCCUCGUUUGACCAGGCAGGUGUUCACUGCGCUUUGAGUGGAACCUUGUGGUUGUAUAAGAAUUAAAGAGUCUGCCGUCUGACAAGCCGUGUAUAAUUUAUUUUGCAACUACAGUAAAAUGUUCAGAAACUAUACAAAGACUUUAGACAGACAGUAAACAUGUAUUUAAUAACACUGCACUUCAGUUACACUGGAUCCUUGAAGGAGUUCCCAGUACAACUUCAUUCAUCUGCUUAUAUUGCAGAACAGUUCUCAGUUAGGCAUGCACGUUCACAACAUCCAAACUCGUUUGGUCCACCACUGAACUCUCUUCCCUUUCUUCUUGUGAACAUGCAUGCUCCUUUGCCUGCUUCUUACAGCAGGCAUUUACCUUCCUCAUCCACCUCCAGCCAUUGGUGGUGGACUAGGGCCUCCACCCCAGUGAUUUAUUCUGCCCAUUCUACGGCGAGGAUUUCCUGGAGGCCCUCUUCCAUCACUUUGUCCUAAGUAGGAGGAAGAUGUGUAGCCUCUUCUCCUCAGGUCUGGUUGAAUAAUGCUCUGGAAGAACAUAACUACAAAGUCUGCUAUUGACCAGAAGAAAUCUGUUAUGGCUGACAAGCUCCAAGGAGCCCGGCUCCGGUUAUCCAAAACUUGUCCAUUAGAUAUGUACACCAUGGCGGCGGCCUCUUAGCGCUGCCCCGUCACCUGCCC